UGGGGAAUCUUUGGACAAUGGGGGCAACCCUGAUCCAGCCAUGCCGCGUGAGUGAUGAAGGCCUUAGGGUCGUAAAGCUCUUUCGCCUGUGAAGAUAAUGACGGUAGCAGGUAAAGAAACCCCGGCUAACUCCGUGCCAGCAGCCGCGGUAAUACGGAGGGGGUUAGCGUUGUUCGGAAUUACUGGGCGUAAAGCGCACGUAGGCGGACCAGAAAGUUGGGGGUGAAAUCCCGGGGGCUCAACCCCGGAACUGCCUCCAAAACUAUUGGUCUAGAGUUCGAGAGAGGUGAGUGGAAUUCCAAGUGUAGAGGUGAAAUUCGUAGAUAUUCGGAGGAACACCAGUGGCGAAGGCGGCUCACUGGCUCGAUACUGACGCUGAGGUGCGAAAGCGUGGGGA
rnacentral:rRNA from 1 species